rnacentral:snRNA from 1 species
GUGCUCACUCUGACAACACAUGUACUAAAAUUGUAAUGACACAGAGCAACUGAGCAGAGCUCUGCACAAGGACACCAAAUUGGUGAACUGUUCCACAUUUAG